GCGUUAUUUCGCCGCUCUAUUUAAACUGCUCGUGCGUUUCAAACUGCUCUUCGGAUUCAAAUUUGCAUUGGGGUGAGUUCCUACCCUUGAUGGGUGAGUCUCAAAGCUAUGCUAAACUAAGUGAGCUAGUAGCGGACCAAAGAGUGCUGUCAUACUCCACCGUUACCUAGACUGAACCUACGUGGCACAUUGUGAGGAAGAGGGACCAAAGAUUCGACUUGUAAAUGGAACGGCUGCAUCUCCAUGGAAGAACUACGUUCGGGAUGAAGAAAGAAAAAGAGGUGCUGGGGUAUGGGGAAGGAACGUAGACAAGCCUUGAUGCCGCUUCCCCAGCACGCCCCAGCAAAGACCAGAGUGUUGGCUACCACAGACUGGUAGAACAUCUUCAGUAGCCUGCAGCACACAUUGAAGAAAAAAAUAAAGUCUGCUCUGACUUCUGAUAGAGGGCCUCGGUGUUGUUUGUCCAGUCCAGUUUAUUGUUUAUGUGUAAUCCUUGGAACUUGUACAAGUCGACUGUCUUUAUUUGAUCCCCCUGGAUGGUAAGACAACAACAACAAUAGUGGGAGGAAAAACUCCCACUAUUGUUUGGUCUAACCAAUAAGUAAAUAAUAUUACAAAAUAAUAAUUAAAACAUUAAGUCAAGCAAGUGUAAAAAUAAUAUGAGACAUGAACUCCAGUCUACUGGUUGAAAGAGUUUAUCAAUCCAUCCAAUGCAUGGAUGGAGUAAGGCCUUGGCUCAGACAUCAGAACUCUAGUGGGAUUCCCAUCGGAAUCCCUCCUGAGCAGGUCAGUCAGUUGUGAGGGGCAGUACGAGGACAACCCCCCCCCCCCCCAGUUAUAAGGAUAAGGAUUCGGUUUAAUCUGAUAUAUUUACAAUAAAAUUCGCCUUCGCCAACCUGACGCCCCACUCCUGAGGCUGUACCUGCUGAUGAUGCUCUACAUAAUUUCAGUGGUGGAAACCAGUGUAGUGAUGGCCUUGAUAUGCUUAGACCAGAGUCUCAAGCCUCCAAAGUAUAUUGCUGUGUUUAAAUUGGCGUUUGUAGAUGUGAUCGGCAGCUCCUCCCUGGUGCCCAAGGUUAUCGGGUUUGUCUCAUGGCCCUGCGGUCUUCGGUGACGGUUUCAUUUCGCGAUAGUACCUACAACCACCUGGUGCCGCCGUUUCAAUUCCAUUCAAAAAGCUUCAUGGCACGACAAUUGUUUAGAACAGUAUUACCGAUGCAUUAUUUAUCUUUAUUUUUGGUGUUUGACGGUAGUAUGUUUUCUAUCCCUAGAG